rnacentral:rRNA from 1 species
AUCCUGGCUGCGGCACGACAUUGUCGAGACCCGAGCUGAGACGACUGCGAACUAG